UACGUAGGGAGCAAGCGUUGUCCGGAAUCAUUGGGCGUAAAGAGCGCGUAGGUGGCUGCAUAAGUCCGUUGUGAAAGUCAAAGGCUCAACCUUUGAAAGCCGGUGGAUACUGUGGGGCUAGAGUCCGGAAGAGGCGAGUGGAAUUCCUGGUGUAGCGGUGGAAUGCGCAGAUAUCAGGAGGAACACCAAUAGCGAAGGCAGCUCGCUGGGACGGUACUGACGCUAAGGCGCGAAAGCGUGGGGAGCGAACAGG
rnacentral:rRNA from 1 species